rnacentral:rRNA from 1 species
GAUGAACGCUGGCGGCGUGCCUAAUACAUGCAAGUCGAGCGAACAGACGAGGAGCUUGCUCCUCUGACGUUAGCGGCGGACGGGUGAGUAACACGUGGAUAACCUACCUAUAAGACUGGGAUAACUUCGGGAAACCGGAGCUAAUACCGGAUAAUAUAUUGAACCGCAUGGUUCAAAAGUGAAAGACGGUUUUGCUGUCACUUAUAGAUGGAUCCGCGCCGCAUUAGCUAGUUGGUAAGGUAACGGCUUACCAAGGCAACGAUGCGUAGCCGACCUGAGAGGGUGAUCGGCCACACUGGAACUGAGACACGGUCCAGACUCCUACGGGAGGCAGCAGUAGGGAAUCUUCCGCAAAGGGCGAAAGCCUGACGGAGCAACGCCGCGUGAGUGAUGAAGGUCUUCGGAUCGUAAAACUCUGUUAUUAGGGAAGAACAAAUGUGUAAGUAACUAUGCACGUCUUGACGGUACCUAAUCAGAAAGCCACGGCUAACUACGUG